UUUAUUUACAAAUUAAUUCUAUUAACAAAAUUCAUCAAAUCAAAUGAAUUUCGAAAUAUGAUUUAUGCAAGUUCUGCAUCUUUACUGUGUGGACGGGAUAUGAUUGUGCUAAACUGGUCAACUAGCAAAUGUGUCUAGGUGAGUAGUUUUACCUGUAAUCACUAUAUUUCUGGUUGAAUUCUAACAUAAAAAUUCUCGAUUUCAAUUUGAGUUUCAAUAAGGUCUCUAUUGACUUAUUAUGGUAAAAAUUUGGAUUUAUUUUUUCAGUGAUGGCCAAGUAAGACAGCUGUAGGAUCCUUCUUCAUCCUUACAAAAAAAUGAAAAAUAUUUUACUUGGCUGACAUAUCAGAAAUUUGGUAGAAGUGACCUUAUUGAAAUACAAUUUGAAGUUAAGUGAUUGUGUUGAAAAUUUGAAAUUUAGUGACUAAUAAUUAAAUUUAAGUGUAAAAUAGCCGUACUAUUUAAAUCCUAUCCUUGAAUGGUAAGCUUCAAGAAGUUAGUUAUUACUGAAAUUUGGAAAGCAGUUGAUAAUGCAUUUAAUAGUGAAGUGAAUGUGAACAUUUACCGUGUAUAGUUUGAACACUUCAUUGAAUUAAAAUUGUGGCAAUCUUCUCUUGUGGUCUUUUGUUAUCAACUUGUCAUGUCUAAUGACCGUUUUAAUGUUCGAGAGCAUCUUUAGAUGGUUUUGGCAUUGUGCCAUUUUUCAUUUGUUUAAGUUUCCAAUAUUGGCAUAAUGCGUGCAGAUAGUUAUUGAUUCUUGCUGUGCUACAUUUGCUGAAAUUCAAAAGAGGGGUAAAGACUUUUGGGCAGAGUUUGAACUGUAUGUUGCAGACCUUUUGGUUGGUGUGGUGGUAAACGUUGCUUUGGUUAGC
rnacentral:misc_RNA from 1 species